GGGGGAUUACGAUGGACACCUGCAAACAAUCUUGGACAAAUUCUGAAGCGGUGGAGACAAUUACGUCUUGGACACCAGUGGAGUAAUUUUAGAGGAGCUGCUACUAUUUAGGAACCGACAAUACUACUCCUCCAGCUCAGUGACUUGGAUUUGGGGACAGUAUUUUUGUCAUAUUAAAGUGGUUCCAUAUCCCUUGGAUAUUUUCAUGGAAACUUGUAUUUCACAAACCAAAGGGCCACAAAGGACUUCCAUGGCUAACCCUCCAGGGCUAUUGCAAAUGGUACAAAAAUUAGGAUCCGAUGGAAGCUUACGUACUGGAAGAAGAAAAAUGGUUCCGGCGCAAUCCUAGAUGUCUAACCCCAACAGACGCCGCCUAAAUCUUAUUUCUACAACAAAAAGCAAUUGCAGCUACACAAUUGGCUAAGUCAGGUAGCCUAGGAAAUUAUAUUCAACAAAUGAAAAAAAAUUCUCCAACAAAUCAAAGUGGAAUUCCCAACAAUCAAUAUUCAACUACGAAAUCAUAUACGGAUGAUGAAGAAGAGAUUCAAUCAAUUUGACAUCAAAUUAACAUCAUCAAGAAGUCAUCAAAACAUUGAUGACAUGCAUGACAUCAACAACCAAUUGCUGAAAAAUUCUAGUCAAUGUUAAUGUAGCUCAAUUAUGGUGGAUAUUAAUGUAGAUCACUAUAGCAACACUAUAUCAAUAAUUGAAUGAGCUAUUGUAGCACUUUUACUAUAGCAUAUUUUGAUUAUAAAUAGCCCAUUUCUCUUCUUGAGGAGAACACAUUAGUUUCUUUCGAAGAAGAUCUCUCUCUAGAAUACUUGGUUAGAGUUUGCUCUCUCUCUAUCUCUCUCUUUGUAAUCUUCAAAUUUAUUUUUGGUAUUACUAUGAAAAUUUAAUUUUCAUAUUUGUGUUCUUAGUUGCAUUAUUAACAUAUGGUCGGC